rnacentral:lncRNA from 1 species
CGAGCGCGGUGUGGCAGGCGGCGCGAGACAGAGGAGCCAGAGGAGGAAUCCGCGCGCGUGGAGCGGACGUAGCACGAGUUUGGAGGAACGGAAGCGGGAUGACAGCGAGGGUACGAGAAUUCCACUGUGGGACUCCUUCAUGAGCGGAACAGAAAAUAAAUAGAGACUGGAAGAGCAAAUCGCAAAUGGGAUUUCAUGAAAAGUCCAUAAUGUCCUGGAGGAGAGCCAGCUGUGUCAGGCACUGGUAGGGAGGGCUGCACGCCAUCCAGGGAGCUGCGAUGGGUCUUGGCGAGGCUGUAGACGUGAACAGAAACAUCAAGGAUGCUGCGUCAAAACGCCAACUCUGGACAGCACUGAAGCCCUCUGUCUAAAAUUGAUCUUGGCGGUGCGACAGGGGCAGCCACAAGCCAAGACCCAUGGAGGCGUGGCCUCAACUUCUCCAUCCCUGCGGCCGCUGGUAA